rnacentral:rRNA from 1 species
GGUAGGCGUAGGCGGGCUGAUUAAGUCAGCGGUGAAAGGUAGCAGCUUAACUGUUUUACAUGCCGUUGAUACUGGUUAGCUUGAGUUGACAGAAGGCAGAUAGAAUUCCUGGUGUAGCGGUGAAAUGCUUAGAUACCAGGAGGAAUACCGAUUGCGAAGGCAGUCUGCUGCAGUCACACUGACGCUGAGGCUCGAAGGUGCGGGGAUCAAACAGGAUUAGAUACCCCGGU